UACGAAGGGUGCAAGCGUUACUCGGAAUUACUGGGCGUAAAGCGUGCGUAGGUGGUUUGUUAAGUCUGAUGUGAAAGCCCUGGGCUCAACCUGGGAAUUGCAUUGGAUACUGGCAGGCUAGAGUGCGGUAGAGGAUGGCGGAAUUCCCGGUGUAGCAGUGAAAUGCGUAGAGAUCGGGAGGAACAUCUGUGGCGAAGGCGGCAUCCUGGACCAAUAUUGACGCUGAGGAGCGAAAGCUAGGGGAGCAAACGGG
rnacentral:rRNA from 1 species